rnacentral:lncRNA from 1 species
AAAAAUCUCCUCGUUGGGUAGCUUUUCGUUGUGUUGUGCCCAUAUACGUAAUUGCUGCCGUCAUCAGCAAUAAUUCUAAGUCCUUUGGAAAGACCUAAAGUUUGUAAACGAAUAAAAAGCAAAUUAAUAAAAAGCAUAAAGAAAAGUGAAGGUAGUAACUUUUAUUUUAAAAAAACACAAACGAAGGGACCGCAGGUGUAGCUAGUGCACCACUGUUGGUCUUGAAUAAAAUCGAUAUACCACUGAUCUAUACAAACACUUACUGUUCUAUGCACAGGAAUUUAUAUUUUUCUUUCACCAAUACGUAAAUAAUGUUAUACACAUGUCAACAUGUAAUUUGUGUGUUAGAAGAGUAAACAGAUGUUCUUUUUCUAUAUAUAUGUGUGUGUGCUUGAGGAGUGCAUGCAGCACAAGAAGCUAUGUGCCUUGUCCCCUGUAUGCCCCAUUUGUGAGCAAGCUGAGGAAUCUAUUGAACACACUUUAUUCCUAUGUCCCUGGACUUAACUGGUGUGGUUUGGCUCCCCUCUCAACUAUAGGGUGGACUCCCAAAGGUUUUCAACCAUAGACGUGUGGUUUCAAAACGUGGCUAAGGAUCUGCCCCGAAGUGAGAAAGAGAGGAUUCUUACCAUUGUGAGCUUUUUCCUGUGGGAGAUAUGGAAAACCCGGUGCAAAGUCAUUUUCGAAGGCCAGAAGAUUGAUCCCCUUAUUGUGAUUAAUAAUGCUAAUAGGGCUGCUCUUGAAUACCAGGCCUUCACGUUUAAAAUCGCUGGACAUAGUUAUGCUCGCAUGGACAGUCGUGCCUCUUGGUGCCCUCCAAGACUGGGAUUUAUCAAGGUCAAUAUCGAUGGAGCGUGGGCCGACGCUGCUAGUUCGGCAGGUUUUGGGGUGAUCUUGCGUGACUCAACUGGUGCUUUUUGUGGUGGAACAGCGGGUCCUAACUCUUGUGAGUCGGCCCUUAUGUCUGAAGCCGAAGCGGCUCUUUCUGGUUUGAAGCUGGCUGCACAGUUUGGGCAUCACAGAAUAUCUUGGCAUCUGAUUCCAAAGUUUUAGUUGAUGGUCUAAAUGGAAAGAUGGGUAAUAGAGCUUGGACUAUCUUGCCUAUUAUCAAGGACAUAAGGAAGUUGGCGGCAUCUUUUGUUUCUAGUGAGUGGUGCUGGGCGCCUAGAAGCCAAAAUAUGGCUGCACAUGAAGCUGCAAAGCUUGGUAGAGGUCUGGUGGAAGCGCGAUGCUGGCUCAAUAGAGCUCCACUUGCUCUCAUGCACGUUCUCAAUUCGGAUGGUCUACCUGGUCCACCUUAGUUUGCUUGUGUUUGGGAGGGGUCCCCUUUUGUACUAAACUGAGUGUUGGUUUAGUUUUCCGCUCCUCCCUUCAGUAUUUGUUUCCUUUGUAUCUUGUGCUUGGUCAUGGCCCUGCUGACCACCACAAGUCAUGGCGUUAACAUCAACGGUAGCGUCGUCAGCGGCGGCGGCUACUCCUCCUCUUCGAGAUGUAAUGGUCUCACUGCCACUGCCACGGCAUGUCGUACUGCAUACUCCGAGUUGGAGUUCAUGUUGGACUCAGAAUUCAGCAUAAGGAUCCUCAAGGAUAUUGGCGAUCCCAAAAUCACUUAUGCCGGAUUGAAGAGUGGACCGGUGUCCUGCGGCCCCCCAGGUGUUGAUAAAUCUGACCAGUGCCACAAGGAGGAAAACAAUAUCGUCCCACCAGAUUGCAAGCCCAGUGCCCCCACCAAUAGGAAUUGCUACCGCCAUGAUGAGAGAAACGCUUCCAAAGGAUGAUAAAUCUGUCAAGUGCCACCGUAACAAAAACCAAAAAGCCAAAUUAGAUUGCAAGGACCUCACCAAUAAGAAUUGCUACGACCAUGAUAAUAAGUAAGCCAAUUACUACUGGAUGGAUCCAUGCAUUAGAUCGUGUGCAAGCUUAUAUAAGUGGUGUUAUUUUUUCUGCUUUUUAAUUUCUGUGUGUACGUGGAGAGUUUGUAUUGGUACGUUUCUGCAUUUGGUUCUUCAUUUUGUUUUAUGUUUUCUUUUAAAUAAAGAAGAGAGAUUCGACUUAAAAUUACUUCCACAGUGGGACUUGGGAAUAAUGCCCAUUAAUUAACAGAGGUCACUAAUUCAUUUUCUUUUAAAAAGACUUUGAACGGAUAAAAAGAAAAGGAAUAAACAUAGAUAAAGUAGUAACCUUUAAUUAAAACAGAAAUGCGCAGGGACCGCAAGCCUAGUGCUUGGAUUGGAUGCUAGACUAGCUACUGACUGAGUCGUGAAUCUCGUGGUCUAUGUAUAUACAUAUAAUUAUUUGUGGGAUUCCUUUGCUUUAUAUGUGACGACGACGAGUCAUAUUUUCUCUCAACCGUAAAGCAUAUACAUUAUUAAUCAAUAAUAGCGCAAAGAGAAAAGUUUAUGGAGGGGCUAGCUGUGCUUUAUACAUGUGUGCAAGAAGAGUAAAGAGCCAAAGUACUUUUUCUAUGUUAUAUAUAUACAGUGUUUGAGGAGUGCAUGCAGCAGAACAAGAAAAAAAGAACAAAAAAAACAAAAGAUGAGUCACUCAGGAGGAGCUAUGAAGCUGAUGAUGGUGAUGAUGGCCAUGGCCCUGCUCACCACAAGCCAUGGCAUUGGCAUCCACAUCAACACCAGCGUCGUCACCGGUGGCUACUCUGCCUCCCGUUGCAACGGCCUUACCGACACGGCAUGCCGUAUUGCUCACUCGGAGUUGGACUUUGACUUGGAGUUCAUGUUGGACUCAGAAUUCAGCAUAAGGAUCCUCAAGGAUAUUGGCGAUCCCAAAAUCACUUAUGCCGGAUUGAAGAGUGGACCGGUGUCCUGCGGCCCCCCAGGUGUUGAUAAAUCUGACCAGUGCCACAAGGAGGAAAACAAUAUCGUCCCACCAGAUUGCAAGCCCAGUGCCCCCACCAAUAGGAAUUGCUACCGCCAUGAUGAGAGAAACGCUUCCAAAGGAUGAUAAAUCUGUCAAGUGCCACCGUAACAAAAACAAAAAAGCCAAAUCAGAUUGCAAGGACCUCACCAAUAAGAAUUGCUACGACCAUGAUAAUAAGUAAGCCAAUUACUACUGGAUGGAUCCAUGCAUUAGAUCGUGUGCAAGCUUAUAUAAGUGGUGUUAUUUUUUCUGCUUUUUAAUUUCUGUGUGUACGUGGAGAGUUUGUAUUGGUACGUUUCUGCGUUUGGUUCUUCAUUUUGUUUUAUGUUUUCUUUUAAAUAAAGAAGAGAGAUUCGACUUAAAAUUACUUCCACAGUGGGACUUGGGAAUAACAGAGGUCACUAAUUCAUUUUCUUUUAAAAAGACUUUGAACGGAUAAAAAGAAAAGGAAUAAACAUAGAUAAAGUAGUAACCUUUAAUUAAAACACAAAUGCGCAGGGACCGCAAGCCUAGUGCUUGGAUUGGAUGCUAGGCUAGCUACUGACUGAGUCGUGAAUCGCGUGGUCUGUCUGUAUAUAUAAUAAUAGCGCAAAAAGAAAAGUUUAUGGAGGGGCCUAGCUGUGCUUUGUAUGAAGACUACAGAGCCAAGUACUUCUAUUUAUAGUGGCUUUGAGGACUGUGUGCAGCAGAAAAAGAACAAAAAAAACAAAAGAUGAGUCACUCAGGAGGAGCUAUGAAGCUGAUGAUGAUGAUGAUGGCCAUGGCACUGCUCACCACAAGCCAUGGCAUUGGCAUCCACAUCAACACCAGCGUCGUCACCGGUGGCUACUCUGCCUCCCGUUGCAACGGCCUUACCGACACGGCAUGCCGGAUUGCUCACUCGGAGUUGGACUUUGACUUGGAGUUCAUGUUGGACUCGGAAUUCAGCAUAAGGCUCCUCCAGACAAAUGACGCUCAUCUUUCUCUGGAGUCGUUAGUUGCAACGAAAGCUGUGUCCUGUAACCGAGUGGGGAAUACAGAUAGCUGCCAUGACAAGGGAAACAAAAUACCCAUUCCAGACAACUGCAAGAAGGAACCCACCCUUAAGGGUUGCUACAAACAUCCCCCCUAAACCCUAAAUCAGCCGCUACUACUACUACUACUGGUGUCUUUUGUUUCGUUCUGCUUCUUAAUUUCUGUGUACGUUUGUGUGCUUUUGAUUCUCUCUCUUUUUUUUUUCUUUUUUUCUUUUUUAAUUAAGAAAGGGGAUUCAGACUUGGGAUGUUUUGUAUCAUUUAGAAGAACUAGUUGGUUGGUUCUUCAAAUAUUUGUGUGCUGUAAUCGUGUUAACCAAUUUCAAGUCUAUAUGAUUUACUCUUUCUUUUCAAUGUCGGAAAAAUAAAACAUUACAACUUUUUUGUGUAUCUGGUACAAUCGUACAAAUCGGUUUGGGCAAGAGUACAUUUCUGUGAAACUUCAUGAAAAUUAUUACAAGAGUACAUUCUUCGCGAGAAAUUAUUAAGUGAUAUUUGAUAUUGAUUAGUCUUUUUUUCAUAUAUGAUUUCUGGAUUCAUUAGUUAACUUGCUUUAGGAUUCUACAUUACUUUAGCAUAUUUCUCUUUAUCCUCUUUUUUCACUUUGUCAGACAACAGCAACAAAAGAAAAAGCAAAAGCUAUCAUGUUGACAGUGAUUCUUGUAGAAUAGUGUAGAAAAAAACCACGUACUAUAAAAAAAGAAAAAAAUGUCUACCGACCAUACUACUUACGCCACGUACAGGCAACUCCUUGCUUUAUAAAAAAAGAAAAAAAAAACCACGUACUUUUAUGUUCAUUAAUUAAUUGAAAACACCCACCAAACUUACCGAAAAUGUCAUGUAGAAAUGUCUACCUACCAUACUAUUUACACCACAGCAACUCUAAACACAUUAACUCCUCUCCCUUCGCAUGUGAAAUUCCCCACUGCGAAUAGCGAGGCAACUGUGAAUGAUGAUGACAUUGGAGAUCAUGAUGGCUCAUGAUUGCCUUGAAAGAGUACCCUAGGCCUAUUGAUAUCUAAUAAGGAUAACAUUAUUUUAUAAUAUUAAGUCAAUCAUAGUAUGUUAUGUGUAAUAAUUUUUUUACUUAGUAUAUUGUGAUUGGUCGGGGAGAGCAAAACAGUGCUAUUCCCAUUUCACACAAGUUUUUCUGUCAAGUGAAAGUAUUAAAUUUUAGAGGAUAUACAAGUUUCAAGUAGUGUGUCAAACAGAGUUGUGAAGACCAAUAUGAAAAUCGUAAAAUUUGAUGGAAAACGAAAUGUUAUUAACUCAUGCCUUAUUUGGGGAUAUAAUCAUGGGAGAUUCACUAUUAUACCAAAUAUAAGGGUCCAAAUUAUAGAAAAAGUAUAAAAUGGACUUUAGGAACACACCCAAAGCCUAUUUACAACAUAACAAAAAAGCUUUUAACUUUUUAUAAAUUACAAAACUGCCAUCGAUUUUUUAAAACAAGCCCAACCUCAAAACCUCAUAAAAAAACCCAAAACACUCAAUAGACAUCAAAGUAAUUUAAUAAUCAAAAUUAAAUUCAAUAGGGCCAGUUGUCAUUUUUGGGGUUUUUUUUUUGGUUUGUUUAUAGAAAUUAAAUGAUGCAGGGUUUAUAUAUAAUUGUUUGGGUCUAAGAAAUUCCACACGCCAGUCCAUUUCUCACAAAGAGGCCCACAAAACAGAAAAGAAAAGAAGACUGGGCCUUGACUCCGGAAAGUAGCCAAUCAACAUAAGAGGCCCACGUCUUUUUGAAAGAUAGCAGAGUUUUUAAGAGAAACAAAAAUAAAUAAAUCAAAUUACCAAUUAAAUGGUAAUUCAUCACCAAGUAGGUCGAUAAAUUUAUAAGAAGAAUUGGAUUGGACCCAGCUUCCAAAUUCUCACCAUUGAUCUCGAUCCCAGAAACAAAGUCAGCAGAUUCUUUUUUUUGGAAAAAUCUAUUUUCAAAAAACUUAUGUGACUACCUGACUUUGAAGAAAGAAAAAUCUCAACUAUUACAGAGAAGCUGACAGAGAAGUUAAUGAAGGCAAGUAUAAAAGAGAGACGUCUCUGAAUCUUUUCAGGCAAAAGAUCAAAAUCCUUUUCUAUAUACAGAAAAAUUCUGCAUCAGAGCAGGUAUCAUUUCCAAUGGAUAAGCAGACUACAUUUUCUAAAGAGAUAAGUAGGGAGCAGGGAGUUGUUCAUCAGGAAAAUCAAACUAACCAUCAAACUAUAAAUAUGAGAAGAGAUGAACAGAUCAAGGAUAGCCAAAAAUCAAUCAAAACAAAAACUCUCAAGACCACAAUUGACAAAAUGAUCACUUGAUCUCAAAAGCCUUCAAACACUGAAGCAACCUCAUUGAGCCAUAAUAAACAAGUCAGCUAUAAUUCAAAAUCUCUUAUCAGUUUAGUUCAGAGAAAUAGUUAUACAAAGCGAGACUUCUCUCGUUACAAAUUUGGUUCAGCAUAAGCCAAGUCAAGCAGAGUCCAGGUUUUUACAAAUAUGAAAACCUCAACAAAUUUAUGGAAAGCCCUGAUCAAGCAGAACAGGUACUACAGUGCAGUUCCAGCUCAGUAAUCAUCAGAUCCAGCUACUUCUACCCCUUUCAGACUGAAGAGUCUCCAAUUCUGCCUGUUCAAAAAGCCUCACAGGGCUUGAAAUAGAUUAAAGCUUUGCCAAACUCGAACGUUGAUAUCAAUUUACAACUGAAACUUGACAGUUGAAGGUGUUGAUGGUCCAAUUUAGCACAGACAUACCCAGUCCAGUCCAGAUCAAAAGUAGCUAUACAGGCAGAAAUUGAAGUCCAACGCUCUUAUGUCGUUUUUAGAGUUGGUCUUUUCCUUUCUGAGCUUUGUAAAAGGUAGUUCUGCCUGAAACAAUUCACUUUCUUAUCAUUUAUUCUGGCCAGAACUAUCAGUUUUGUACUGUGAAAAUUAGUGAAGUUCUUACCAGUAUAAGGCAAUAAAAGAACUUACUUGGGAGAUAUUCAUCACCCAAAUUCACAAAUCGCUUGUUUAGAAAUUAAUAACUUAGGGCGCAAGUUAUCUAUUUUAAGGGAGUCUGCUAGGAUUUUUAUUGCUAGCAUGACACGCUCAUACACAAAAGAAAGUUGACUUGUUGACCACAAAUGAUUUUCAAGCAAAUGGGAAACUUUACCCUACCAUCACAGGAACAAAUCAAAAAAUAAGUGAAUAAUAAUGCUAAAAAUAGAUAUAUGACUAAAUAUCUCUAAAAUCAUUUGCCGCAAAAGAAGAUGUUUGACAUCACACAAUAUAAAAAAGAUGAGUGCAAUUGUCAGUACAUUAUCUCUUGAAUUGCAUACCUGAGCAUUUUCUGAUUUUUUAUGAUACCUCUCUUGUGUUUUUUCCUGUUAUUGAAUCAAGUUAAGGUAUUUUUUUCAAAAAUAAAAAUAAAAAUCUUUUAAAUCGAAAAAUAGUGGGGCUCAACAAAUUAUGCUUAAGAGUCAUUUUGAUAUGAAAUACUAUAAUCCUAAAGCUACAAUCCUCGCCCUCAUCUCUUCCACAAGUCUAGCCAUCUAACCUUUGGUUUUUGACGCUAGAUUCAUAACAUGUGAACUAAGGUAUAGAAAGUUCCAUUUUGAAAGUUGAGGGAUUUUCUCAAGUUGAUACAAAGUUCAGGACCAUAGCUUCUAAAAAGUUUUUGUCAAUAUAUAUAGGCACUGUGGUCCAGCCAAGUUGAGCCCAUGCAGAGCGUGACGUGAACUGAGACCAUUACGAGAAAAAAAAUUGGUCACUCUCAUUUCUCACUUCCAUUUCUUUCUUGAUGGUUCAUUGUGAUAAUGCUCUUAUUUUGACAAAAUAUAUACAGUGCUUUGAUGAGUGCAUGCAGCAGAAAAAGAAAAAGGAUGAGUCACUCAGGAGGAGCUAUGAAGCUGAUGAUGGUGAUGAUGGCCAUGGCCCUGCUCACCACAAGCCAUGGCAUUGGCUACCACAUUAACACCAGCGUCGUCACCGGCGGCUAUUCUGCCUCCCUGUGCAACGGCCUCACCUACACGGCGUGCCGGAUUGCACACUCUGAGUUGGACUUUGACUUGGAGUUCAUAUUGGAUUUAGAAUUCAGCCUAAGGAUCCUCAAGGUCAAGGGUGACAGUUCCAAUCCCACUACUAUAAUCAAAACAACGAGGAAAGGCUGCGUCCUGCAACCGAGUUGGUAACCAAGAUCCCUGCCACGGUAGGUAACGAAAACCAAAAUGCCACACCAGAGCACUGCAAGGAGGAACCCACCAAUAAGACUUGCUGGAAACAUUUCUAAAUCAAAUAUUUGGCCGCUACUACCACUGGUGUCCUUUUUUUUUUGUUUGCUUCUUUCUGCUUCUUAGUAUUUGGUGCCCUACUCAUCAGGGUCAGUUUAAUUUCUGUGUACGUUUGUGUGCUUUUGAUUCUCCUUUUAAA